UAGGGAGGAAAAGAAACCAACUGGGAUUACCUUAGUAACGGCGAGUGAAGCGGUAAAAGCUCAAAUUUGAAAUCUGGUACUUUCAGUGCCCGAGUUGUAAUUUGUAGAAUUUGUCUUUGAUUAGGUCCUUGUCUAUGUUCCUUGGAACAGGACGUCAUAGAGGGUGAGAAUCCCGUUUGGCGAGGAUACCUUUUCUCUGUAAGACUUUUUCGAAGAGUCGAGUUGUUUGGGAAUGCAGCUCAAAGUGGGUGGUAAAUUCCAUCUAAAGCUAAAUAUUGGCGAGAGACCGAUAGCGAACAAGUACAGUGAUGGAAAGAUGAAAAGAACUUUGAAAAGAGAGUGAAAAAGUACGUGAAAUUGUUGAAAGGGAAGGGCAUUUGAUCAGACAUGGUGUUUUUUGCAUGCACUCGCCUCUCGUGGGCUUGGGCCUCUCAAAAAUUUCACUGGGCCAACAUCAAUUCUGGCAGCAGGAUAAAUCAUUAAGAAUGUAGCUACUUCGGUAGUGUUAUAGCUUUUUGGAAUACUGUUAGCCGGGAUUGAGGACUGCGCUUCGGCAAGGAUGUUGGCAUAAUGGUUAAAUGCCGCCCGUCUA
rnacentral:rRNA from 1 species